AGCUAAACAUAGUUUUACCAAAUAUUUAACAUAAAUAAACUAUCAUCAGUUACCAGCUAUCAGCUAACAGUUAUCAAUUGUAUCUAACAAUUAAACCAAACAAGCCCUAAAACAAAGUAAAUUACCAUAAUACUCCAAAUUUAAAUAUAUAAUUAUUAUUAAAAAAAUGUUAAACAAAUAUCAUAUAUUUUGUUUAGGAUAUAUGAUUAAAAAUUAAAAUUCAAAACAUAAAAAAA
rnacentral:misc_RNA from 1 species